GUCAGAUCACUGCCAAGUGCAAGAAAGAUUGUCAUGAAUCCCCAGGUUGUUCUACUGCUCAUGCUGGUAGCCGUCCCCUGCACAUCUGCGAUAACUUGUCGAGACGAUCAGUUUGCUUGUGCAAAUCAAGAAGAGUGUAUCCGU